AAUUCGUGAUGAGGACACAUGUUAAUCAGACCUCUAAAUCUCUCCCAGUUUUCAUUAAAUAUCUCAUCAACUUCUUGCAUGAAUCGACUGAUCUAUUCCUGCAAAAAU